UGGGGAAUAUUGGGCAAUGGACGAAAGUCUGACCCAGCAACGCCGCGUGAAGGAAGAAGGUUUUCGGAUCGUAAACUUCUAUCCUUGGUGAAGAUAAUGACGGUAGCCAAGAAGGAAGCCCCGGCUAACUACGUGCCAGCAGCCGCGGUAAUACGUAGGGGGCAAGCGUUGUCCGGAAUGAUUGGGCGUAAAGGGCGCGUAGGCGGCCUGGUAAGUCUGGAGUGAAAGUCCUGCUUUUAAGGUGGGAAUUGCUUUGGAUACUGCUGGGCUUGAGUGCAGGAGAGGUAAGUGGAAUUCCCGGUGUAGCGGUGAAAUGCGUAGAGAUCGGGAGGAACACCAGUGGCGAAGGCGACUUACUGGACUGUAACUGACGCUGAGGCGCGAAAGUGUGGGGAGCAAACA
rnacentral:rRNA from 1 species